CUACCGCUGCUUAUCACGUUU
ensembl:piRNA 21ur-3062 ncRNA